UACGGAGGGUGCAAACGUUGCUCGGAAUCAUUGGGCGUAAAGCGCACGUAGGCGGACCGCUAAGUCGGAUGUGAAAGCCCUCGGCUUAACCGAGGAAGUGCAUUCGAAACUGACAGUCUUGAGUAUGGAAGAGGGUCGCGGAAUUCCCGGUGUAGAGGUGAAAUUCGUAGAUAUCGGGAGGAACACCAGUGGCGAAGGCGGCGACCUGGGCCAAUACUGACGCUGAGGUGCGAAAGCGUGGGGAGCAAACAGA
rnacentral:rRNA from 1 species